UGGGGAAUUUUGCACAAUGGGCGCAAGCCUGAUGCAGCGACGCCGCGUGAGGGAUGAAGGCCUUCGGGUUGUAAACCUUUUUCGCUCAUGGUCAAGCCGCAGCUUUGGGUUGUGGUGAGGGUAGUGGGUAAAGAAGCGCCGGCUAACUACGUGCCAGCAGCCGCGGUAAUACGUAGGGCGCGAGCGUUGUCCGGAAUUAUUGGGCGUAAAGGGCUUGUAGGCGGUUGGCCGCGUCUGCCGUGAAAUCCUCUGGCUUAACUGGGGGCGUGCGGUGGGUACGGGUUGACUUGAGUGCGGUAGGGGAGACGGGAAUUCCUGGUGUAGCGGUGGAAUGCGCAGAUAUCAGGAGGAACACCGGUGGCGAAGGCGGGUCGCUGGGCCGUUACUGACGCUGAGGAGCGAAAGCGUGGGGAGCGAACAGG
rnacentral:rRNA from 1 species